UCUCCCCCCUCACAUCCACUCACUCUCUCCCCCCUUUACAGCCGCUCACUUUCUCCCCACCGCGUCGCCGGCCUCCUCUUCUCCGAAGCGACGGCGGCGCCCGCAUCUCCGCUGCUAGCUCUAGCUUUUGGGCUGACAUCCACAUCUUCAAACCUCACCUCUCCCCACCCCCUCACAGCCGCUCACUCUCUCCUCCUCCUCUCCCCACCGUGUCGCCGGCCUCCCCCUCUCACCCGCAACGGCGGUGCCCGCAUCUCCACCGCUAGCUCUGGCCUUUGAGCUCACCCCCUUCCAGUUUGAGCCUGCCCCGAUGUUCGUUGUAGAUAGCCCCACCCUCAUCCGCUCCUUUCUCGUACGCGACGUGAUGCUCCAUCCAUUUGUACGCGGUGGCGGCGGUUCGGUCCCGGAGGCAUCUCAGCCUCGUCAGGCUCGGUGCAGAGCAGGCGUUCGACACGCAGGUACGCGCCGUGAUAUCUGUGAUUUGGGGAGGAGUGGUCCGGGUGCGGUCGGGCUCGAAUUCGUGUGGUUUUGAGAGAUGUGUGCCAUUGUUGUGGGCUUGGAGGAGUAUUGUUUCUGUUCUUGCAGAUAUUCAAGAUCGGGCGGACCGAGUGGCUGUGCGUGAGCGGCGAGAUGGAGGCUAAGGCUGGCGUGGAGGAGGCAGGCGGCCGAGGUGCGGAGCAGGGCGCCAACUCGCCAGCAACAUACAAGGGCUACGGCACCUGCCUCGGCACCGCCAACGGUGGGCUCCUCAACCGGGGCGUCUACUACUUCGUGCACCUCCUCCGGCUGCCGACCUACAGUUGAGUAUGUAUAAUUGCGAUUGUCAAGCCUGAUAAUUGAUGUUAUGUUGUAGGGCAUAGAGAUUAUAUCUCAUGUUAGAUGUAGUUGGAUAUAUUUGCUUUCCCCUUAAUUUCACUACUGUUUUAUUGAGAAAUCAAGUACUAUAUAUCUAUGUACAAGAUAUGUAAACCUAUAUGAAGCCGAUCAUAUAUUCUAUACUCAGGACACAUGUUUUUCAUGCCCUCUAUUUGGGUUGAAAAAUUUCGGCUCCCGUGGCAACACAUGAGCAAGUCUGGUAAAGAAUAGUAGCAAAAAUGAACAAAGAAUAGUGAAUCCUGAAUACAAUGAACAUGACUGGAAAAGAAUUGUAGACUCAUGACCAAGUCUGCAAAACAAUAUUCUACACUAACGACACAUGUUUUUCAUGCCCUCUAUUUGGGUUGAAAAAUUUCGGCUCCCGUGGCAACACAUGAGCAAGUCUGGUAAAGAAUAGUAGCAAAAAUGAACAAAGAAUAGUGAAUCCUGAAUACAAUGAACAUGUCUGGAAAAGAAUUGUAGACUCAUGACCAAGUCUGUAAAACAAUAUUCUACACUCACGACACAUGUUUUUCAUGCCCUCUAUUUGUGUUGAAAAAUUCCGGCUCCCGUGGCGACACAAGAGCAAGUCUGGUAAAGAAUAGUGGGAAAAUGUACUAAGAAUAGUGAAUCCUGAAUACAAUGAACAAGUCUAGAAAAGAAUUGUACACUCAUGACCAAGUCUAUAAAACAACACAAGAUGGCCAGGAAUCAGUUAUGAGCAGCCACAUCAUGGAAUGAACCCCUGGAAAAUUCAAAGGAUUUCUUAAAUCUGGAAAAGAACUUGAUUUCGCUUAAGUUCUACAAUGUAUAUAUCAAGUAAGUUGCACUGCAGCUGAUCCUUCAGCCCCAACCAGCCUAUUAGUAUUGUUAUUUUGUAGAGUGUAAAACUUCCAAAUUCUUCUCCAUUUUGUGCGUAAUAUAAAACUACCAGUCACCUAAGCCAUUAGGGCUAAACUGCAAAUGUACUCAACAAUGAAGACAAGACAAUGAUUCAUGAUUAAAAAAUGUUGUGGAAAUCAAGUUCAUCCUGAUUCUUGAACAAUUAAACAAUGUAGACAUGCUGUAACGACAAUAUUUAUGAUUACCAUGGCUUUGCAGAAAACUCAUGGUCAAACUGCAGCUAUUUAGUAAUAAUAUUACAACUCACUUCAUAUUGCAAUUGAUACACCAUUUAGGAUAUUACUACUGGAACUGAGCUCAUGUGUAGAGUGACCUGCAGGCAAGUUAAUGGAUCAGCACUCUUCUCCUAUUUGGUCUCAAUGCUUCUUCAAUUUCAACAGGAUCAAUUAAUAGCAGCUCUUUUGCUCAAUGCUUCUUCAUUUUCAACAGGAUCAAUUCGUCAGUUCUGGUAUGUAGAACUAUCUUAUCCACUCUGGAAGUGCCCUUCCUACCUUUUAUUUGGUAUCAAUUGAGAACUGUUUUAAAGAGUAGAAACCAAUCACGGGGUUAUUACACUUGGUUAGUAGUGUUUCCUAUUUUCUUAUCCCUAUCUUACCUGCAUUCUUGAUAGUUUGUCAUGUCUCUCCUGCUUGACAUGACAAAUCACAAAGAAAGAAAAAUCCUUAUGACUUGUGAGCUUUGCCUGUUAACUUAACCAAUGCUGGGAAAUCUCUUGCUUUGUACAAUGGUAAGUCAUGAGUCUGCUGUCUUCAUACAAUGAGGAAAUAUUUGUUUGCUGCUUAUUCAUUAAUAUCUUAUUACUGAAAGGAUUGCCAGUGUAUUAGCGAUUCAAGUUCCAGCUUUGGCAGUGUAGUCUGGAAUGUUUGAAAUUAACAAGAUGAACUCCUAUCAACUACUCCAAGGUUUUCUGAAACAGUCAUAAUAAUUCAAGUUCAUAUUCUGGAAGGAUGUUGACCAACGAGCCUUGUAAUAAUGAGGUCAGAGAUGCUGCAAUGCAUAAUCAGUUAUCUGCUUGUAACACAAGGAAUUAUACUGCAACAUUUCCUCCAGUGCAGGCAAACUCGAAUGAUGUGCCGCUUGAUGAAACAUCUGCUUUUAACUCCGGAACUCGUGCUUCAACAUAUGUUCCAUUGCGGGAUAAUCCUACACUUGGGAGGCAAGCCCAAGAUCACAUGAAGGUGUCAUUUUCAUUGCCACUGAACACUAAAUAUCAGUAGUUCAGAUGUUUCCUCUCUGAUUUACAGGGCUCUGCUUAUUACUAAUUUUUUUGUUUCCUGACUUGUUCCGAAGGCAUGGUUAGACAUUUGUCAUGUGAGUUUGUGCAAUGGGUACCGAGCUUACACUCGCGUGCUUAAAAUGACUUCUUCUACAAGAUAGGAACAUGCGUUGGCUGUAUGAGCAUGCGUUGUGUAUAAACUGUGUAUAAACUUCAUUGUUUACCUA